AGUGAUACCUGCACUAAAGACCACUCAGGACCAAGAACAUGGGGUUGAAAAAUGCAGAGUCUUUAAGAGGGGAAGAUGAACCUGGCCCUUUCCUGUCUUCCUUGCACCAUUUUGAUGGAUGGAAAUUAAUCCCAUCCCUGCACCUCCUUUGUAUCUGUAUCAAGGCAAAAUGAACCUCCCUUGCCUCCCUUUCCACACCACGGGGAGAAGAUGAACUUGCCCCUUGAUUCUGCAACAUUCAUAACAUUUGUAGCUUGGCAGGGUAAAAUAAAACAAUUAAAUCUCAUCUGUCGGGGUCCCAGCAGAUCAGGGCCAGGGCCAAGAAGGGCUGUUCCCACCCCCUUUUGCACCACAAUUAGCUUUAUGCACUAUCAGUUGUUGAGCUUUGUUUUGUUUGUCUGUGGGUUUUUUGUUUGCCUUUCCUCUGAAGCAUCUGGCAUUGGCCACUACUGGAAGCAGACACUGGACUAGAUGCAUGAUCUGAAAUGAUACAGCUACUCUUGUGUUCCUAGAUACUUAACUGGAGGGAUGCAAACCUACACACACCAAAGAGCUCUGCUCACUGAAUCAAUCUAUGGUAUUAACCUGGCUCCAUCACCCAGUACCGGAGUGUCUCUCAAUCUUUAAUGCAUUCAUUUUCCCAGCACCUCUUCAAACUAGGGCACAGCUAUUAUGCCCAUUUUAUAUGUGUGCAAUUUGAGGCCUAGAUCCACAAAGGGACUUCGGUGUCAUUGGGGCAGAGAAGAAGAAUGACUCUGUAGCCUGAGAGUUAGGGUGCCCCUGGGAGGAAGGUGGGAGACCCAGGGCCCAGUCUUAGUUAAUUACCAUUAGUUAAUUCUUUAUCUGGAGUGGAAUAGCUUCAACAGGAGAGACUGAGGAAGCCUGAGCCCAGAGUCUCCCACAGCCCACUUGUCCGAGCACUCUCCUGAGAGGAUUUGAACGGGGGUUUCCCACCUUUCUCCCCAUCAGACAGAGUGGGGAUCGGACCAGCCUCCUCAUCCAAGCUCAGCGCUCUAACCUCUAGGCUGAAAGCUAUAAAGAAAACCCCAUGACCACCUUCUCCUCUGUCCACAUUUUGAGCUGGGCUUGAUUCAGUUGAUGGGUGUGGAUCAGGCUCUGCAGACAAGAUAGGCAGGGGAAUGCCUGUCUUCCCCUGGCUUGUGGAUCACACUGGGGCUUAGAUGGGAGAUGGACCUCUGGUUCCCUACAGUAAGGCAGUGCGAAUGCUCAGAGGCCGAAACAUAAGCACCAAGGAACACAAAUGUAGGCACCGGGUAAGUUUAGCUGCCUGCAGGGUUAGACGGCAGCCGAGUGGGGAUUUUGUGGAUUGCUGUGGCACCUCAAUUUGGGGUUUAGGUGCCUCAGGACCUUUGCUGAUAUUGACCAGAGAGACUUAGUGACUUGAUUUGCCAAAGGUCCUAGAGUCUAAGGGGGAUGGGAAAAUGCCCAGUACUGUUAUCAACAUUUCAGACAUCUUCAGUAAGAGCAGAUUUCUAAAUUAUGCUGUUCUGAUCCCUGCCCUAGCUACCUUCCAGGAAAUGCAUCCUCUUACAGGACCUCCCGUUAACACUCAGAACUCCUAAUGGGCUGGGUCCCACUGCUGUUUCCAGGAGCUUUGAACCUUGCAUACCAUCAGCCAGCAGGGCUGUUAGGUUUGUAGAUUUUAAGGCCAGAAGGGACCAUUAUGAUCAUCUCUGUGACUUCCUGGAUAACACAGGCCAGAGGAGUUCUCCCAAUUAUGCCUGCAUCAAGUUCAGUUACUAGGCAUCAAAAUGGAGCAUAACUGUAUUUUUUUAAGACAUUCAAUCUUGUAUUAACUAUUUCAAGAACUGGAGAAUCCAUCAUAUUCCUAGGUAAGUUGUUCCAAUGGUUAAUUAUCCUCAUUGUUCAAAUGUGGACCUUGAAGAAAGACAGAAUCCUGGUUUAGCAGGCUAUUCUCAGUCCUCCCAGCUGAGCCCCCUUUAAACUGAGCUUUACAAUGCUAUUUACCUAAGCACAACAUCACUAAUACAG